rnacentral:rRNA from 1 species
CGGAGAGGGCGCAUGAGAACACGGCUACCACAUCCAAGGAAGGCAGCAGGCGCGCAAAUUACCCAAUCCCAACACGGGGAGGUAGUGACAAUAUGUAACAAUAUACGGCCUUAUACGUCGUAUAAUUGGAAUGAGUACAAUUUAAAUCCCUUAACGAGGAACAAUUGGAGGGCAAGUCUGGUGCCAGCAGCCGCGGUAAUUCCAGCUCCAAUAGCGUAUAUUAAAGUUGUUGCAGUUAAAAAGCUCGUAGUUGGACCUUGGACCUGGACAGGCGGUCCGCCUCACGGCGAGUACUGUCUUGCUGGGUCUUUCCUCUUGGUGAUCUGUUGUUUCGGCAGCAGGGAACCAGGACCUUUACUUUGAAAAAAUUAGAGUGUUCAAAGCAGGCUCGACGCCGGAAUAUAUUAGCAUGGAAUAAUAAAAUAGGACGUGCGGUUCUAUUUUGUUGGUUUUUGGAAUCGCCGUAAUGAUUAAUAGGGACAGUCGGGGGCAUUAGUACUCACAUGCUAGAGGUGAAAUUCUUGGAUUUUGUGAAGACUAACUUCUGCGAAAGCAUUUGCCAAGGAUGUUUUCAUUAAUCCAGAACGAAGGUUAGGGUAUCGAAAACGGUUAGAUACCGUUGUACUCUUAACAGUAAACUAUGCCGACUAGGGAUCGGUCGAUGUUAUCUUUUUGACUCGAUCGGCACCUUACUAGAAAUCCAAGUUUUUGGGUUCUGGGGGGAGUAUGGU